rnacentral:lncRNA from 1 species
ACUGAUUCCAAAUCAACGGCUACCCUUGAAUCAUCAUGAUUAAAAUCAACGGCCCAGUUUUCAGCUGCAUCUAAAUGGAACCUUCCAUUUUGUGGUGAAAAAGCAUGCGCUAAAACCCCUAAUACUCCGUCAAACGGUUCUCCGUCACCAUGAUCGCCGUUGUAGAAUCCGAUCUUAAUAUCCGCCGAUUGAUAUUUCUCCGUUAACCGGAAACUCACCGGAAUCACCUUCGCCCAUCGCGCAAAAGCACGUUCGAAAACCGUUUGAAUUUCUGAUAAACUCAACGUGUCGAUCAUGUUAUAAGGUGAGAAAGCGUAGGUUAAAGUCAUCGGAGAACCACGAAGCCACCGUGGUUUACCGUUGAAGUAAGCAAAGUGUUGCGUGGUGUGGAUUCUAUGAGUUGCUGCUGUAUCGGAAACGCCGCAUCUCGGAGAAACGAUCGUUGAGAUAGUAUUAGAGUCGAGUUUUCCGGUGAUCGGUAAACCGAGGUUUUUCUGAUAAAGUACAACGGCGGAUUGGAAGCUUGAGUCGAACGUGUCAGUGAAAUUCGCCGUGGUUAGUGGCGGAGAGAGGUAACCGAAGCGGUUGAAGUAUUUUUUGAGCUCCGCCAUGCCGCUGACGUGGCUGCCUGGUUCUGCGUGAAGAAACCGCGAGAAAUCAUGCCACGUGGCGUUGUGUUUUUGGGUGGUGGUUAUUACAGUUACAGAUUCUGGUAUGAUCCUCGCGGGAAAACAGGGUCGCAAAAAGAGGGUCAUAAAGAAGAACAAAAAGUUUAUGUAACUGAAAAACUGAAACAUAACUAUUUGUUAUGUGUAGCUAUGUGAAUUAUUAUUAUGAACCUUAUGAUAGAUGAAUUAAUAUGAUUAUGAGUUUAGAAUCAUUUAUAUAUAAGUGCGUAUGGUAUGGGGAAGUUAAUAUGUAAAGAUAAGAAGAUUCUGACCCUUUUGAAGGGAGAUCCUGACUUUAGAAGUGUGAUGGUGGGUAAUGUAAUGUUUCUGUUUGUAAUUAAUUUUAUAAAGUAUAUAGUAUAAUUUUAAGUUUGGCCGUUUAA